rnacentral:tRNA from 1 species
GCCCGGGUAGCUCAGUCAGUUGAGCAUCCGACUUCGGCUCACGUCAUGAUCUCACGGUUCGUGGGUUCGAGCCCCACAUCGGGCU